CGCGCAGGCGGUCUUCCAAGUCAGUGGUGAAAGCCCGGAGCUCAACUCCGGAACUGCCAUUGAAACUGUGAGACUUGAGGAUGAGAGAGGUGAGUGGAAUUCCCAGUGUAGAGGUGAAAUUCGUAGAUAUUGGGAAGAACACCGGUGGCGAAGGCGGCUCACUGGCUCAUUUCUGACGCUCAGGCGCGACAGCGUGGGGAUCAAACAGGAUUAGAUACCCUGGUAGUCCACGCCGUAAACGAUGAAUGCUAGCCGUUGGGCAGCUUGCUGUUCAGUGGCGCAGCUAACGCAUUAAGCAUUCCGCCUGGGGAGUACGGCCGCAAGGUUGAA
rnacentral:rRNA from 1 species